CCCUCGUCUCCGAUAGGCUUCAAGUGAUUUCAUACAAAUGGCUAAGUCGGAAUUUUUCGGUUUCCUCCAAUGCUGCAAAGAGAUUGCUAGAGGAGUUCGUUGAACAGCAUGGAGAUGGAUUAGCAGUGAUUUACUCUUUGUCUGGCUGGCUGAAGAAUAACCCUACAACCUACCAUAUAAGGCUUGUCCCCAGUCAUAUGCUUUCAGGUGAUUCC